GAAAUGCGAUAAGUAGUGUGAAUUGCAGAAUUCAGUGAAUCAUCGAAUCUUUGAACGCACAUUGCGCCCUUUGGUAUUCCUUAGGGCAUGCCUGUUCGAGCGUCAUCUAAACCUUCAAGCCCUGCUUGGUGUUGGGUGCCUGUCCCGCCUCCGCGCGCGGACUCACCUCAAAUCCAUUGGCGGCCCCCGCGUCGGCCACGAGCGCAGCAGAGACGCGAACUCGUGAGCCCGUCCGGGCGGCUCCCAGAAGCUACACCCACCCAGUUUGACCUCGGAUCAGGUAGGGAUACCCGCUGAACUUAAGC
rnacentral:misc_RNA from 1 species